GCUUACGGCCAUACCCACCUUGAGGCACGCCCGAUCUCGUCUGAAUCUCGGAAGCUUAAGCAGGGUCGGGCCUGGUUAGUACUUGGAUGGGUGAACCGCCUGGGAAUACCGGUGCUGUAAGCA
rnacentral:rRNA from 1 species